GCUAAACUAUUUUUGCGAUGUGUUCCUAAUAUGCAGUAUAAAUAUAUUGGGAGCAUUUUGCAUGCAUGGUUUUGUAUC
rfam:TPA: Bos taurus chromosome X, whole genome shotgun sequence.